GACGGGGGGAACAAGUGUUAGGCGUAUUGAUUGGGCGUAAAGGGUGCGUAGACGGCCGUUUUGAACCUACGCUAAAUUCCACCACUAGGUGGCAAGCGUUUGUCUAUCGUUCGGCUAGAGGAAAUUCGAGGUUGGCGGUACUGCUAAUUUAGGCCAGAGUGCUAACGAGAUUAGGAGGACCCUCAGUGGCGUAGGCGGCUUGCCAGUUUUUCCUGACGUUCAGGCACGGAGGCGAGGGGAGCAAACGGG
rnacentral:rRNA from 1 species